GAAAUGUCAUUUAUAUGAAAUCGAUAUUGAUCUGUGUAAUGGCUAUAGAUUCGUUGUUAAUAGUUUUGCUGCUGACCAUUGUUAAAUAAGGAGCACCGUGAACGGCCACCGGUAUUUUAUGAAUGGUCACGAUCAAUUCAAUGGAUCAGGCGUGUAAUUUUGUGUUUUUCCUUCUCAGGUACACUUACAAAAGCUUUAGAGGAAGAGUUAGACCUAAGAAGAAAUGAAUGGAUUGCGUGAAAGACGAUAUGGAGGGGAGUGGGUGAAGAAAUGGUAUAUGAUAAAGGAGUAUGGAAGGAGAAAACUUGUUGCGCCGACCCCAGGUGACUAGGAAAAGGGCAGGAAAAUGAUGUACACAUAUACAUGGUGUUAGCAAUUGAGACAAAAAAUAAAAAAUAAACAUUUCAAGAAA